UUUGUAGGUGGCCAACUAAGUCAGACGUGAAAUCCCUCAGCUUAACUGGGGAACUGCGUCUGAUACUGGUUGGCUUGAGUGCAGGAGAGGAACGCGGAAUUCCAGGUGUAACGGUGAAAUGCGUAGAUAUCUGGAGGAACACCGGUGGCGAAGGCGGCGUUCUGGACUGCAACUGACACUGAGAAACGAAAGCCAGGUAGCAAACG
rnacentral:rRNA from 1 species